UGGGGAAUAUUGCGCAAUGGAGGAAACUCUGACGCAGCCAUGCCGCGUGAGUGAAGAAGGCCUUAGGGUUGUAAAGCUCUUUCAGACGUGAUGAUGAUGACAGUAACGUCAAAAGAAGUUCCGGCUAACUUCGUGCCAGCAGCCGCGGUAAU
rnacentral:rRNA from 1 species